UACGUAGGGGGCAAGCGUUGUCCGGAUUUAUUGGGCGUAAAGAGCGUGUAGGCGGCCAGACAGGUCCGUUGUGAAAACUCGAGGCUCAACCUCGAGACGCCGAUGGAAACCGUCUGGCUAGAGUCCGGAAGAGGAGAGUGGAAUUCCCGGUGUAGCGGUGAAAUGCGCAGAUAUCGGGAGGAACACCAGUGGCGAAGGCGGCUGCCUGGGCCAGUUCUGACGCUGAGGCGGCGAAAGCGGUGGGGAGCAAACAGG
rnacentral:rRNA from 1 species